rnacentral:rRNA from 1 species
CAGCGCCGCGGUAACACCGGCGGCUCGAGUGGUAACCGUUAUUAUUGGGUCUAAAGGGUCUGUAGCCGGCCGGAUAAGUCUCUUGGGAAAUCUGGCAGCUUAACUGUCAGGCUUUCAGGGGAUACUGUCUGGCUCGAGGCCGGGAGAGGUGAGAGGUACUUCAGGGGUAGGGGUGAAAUCUUGUAAUCCUUGAAGGACCACCAGUGGCGAAGGCGUCUCACCAGAACGGACUGACGGCAAGGGACGAAAGCUAGGGGCACGAACCGGAUUAGAUACCCGGGUAGUCCUAGCCGUAAACGAUACUCGCUAGGUGUCGGCCACGGUGCGACCGUUGUCGGUGCCGUAGGGAAGCCGUGAAGCGAGCCACCUGGGAAGUACGG